rnacentral:rRNA from 1 species
GACACGGCCCAGACUCCUACGGGAGGCAGCAGUAGGGAAUUUUCGGCAAUGGGGGAAACCCUGACCGAGCAAUGCCGCGUGAAUGAUGAAAUUCUUCGGAAUGUAAAAUUCUGUUGUGAGGGAAGAAAGGUAGUAUCAGGAAAUGGGUAUUACUUGACGGUACCUUACUAGAAAGCCCCGGCUAACUAUGUGCCAGCAGCCGCGGUAAUACAUAGGGGGCGAGCGUUAUCCGGAAUUAUUGGGCGUAAAGCGUGCGUAGGCGGUCGUUUAAGUCUGUCGUGAAAGCCCACAGCUUAACUGUGGAGGGUCGAUGGAAACUGGAUGGCUUGAAUCUAGAAGAGGUAAGUGGAAUUCCAUGUGUAGCGGUAAAAUGCUUAGAUAUAUGGAGGAACACCAGUGGCGAAGGCGGCUUACUGGUCUAGCAUUGACGCUGAGGCACGAAAGCGUAGGUAGCAAACAGGAUUAGAUACCCUGGUAGUCUACGCUGUAAACGAUGAGCACUAAGUGUCGGACGUAAGUUCGGUGCUGUAGUUAACGCAUUAAGUGCUCCGCCUGGGGAGUACGGUCGCAAGACUGAAACUCAAAGGAAUUGACGGGGACUCGCACAAGCGGUGGAGCAUGUGGUUUAAUUCGACGCAACGCGAAAAACCUUACCAGGCCUUGACAUCCCUAUGACCGCUCUAGAGAUAGAGUUUCCUCUUCGGAGGUAUAGGUGACAGGUGGUGCAUGGUUGUCGUCAGCUCGUGUCGUGAGAUGUUGGGUUAAGUCCCGCAACGAGCGCAACCCUUAUCAUUAGUUGCUAACAUUAAGUUGAGCACUCUAAUGAGACUGCCAGCGACAAGUUGGAGGAAGGUGGGGAUGACGUCAAAUCAUCAUGCCCCUUAUGGCCUGGGCUACACACGUGCUACAAUGGCCGGUACAAAGAGCAGCGAAAUUGUGAAAUGGAGCAAAUCUCAAAAAGCCGGUCUCAGUUCGGAUUGUAGUCUGCAACUCGACUACAUGAAGUUGGAAUCGCUAGUAAUCGUGGAUCAGCAUGCCACGGUGAAUACGUUCUCGAGUCUUGUACACACCGCCCGUCACACCAUGAGAGUUUGUAAUACCCGAAGCCGGUGGCUUAACCGCAAGGAGAGAGCCGUCUAAGGUAGGACAGAUGAUUGGGGUGAAGUCGUAACAAGGUAUCCCUACGAGAACGUGGGGAUG